rnacentral:tRNA from 1 species
UUCAACUUGGCAGAAAAAAUGCAAUAAAUUUAGAAUUUAUUUAUGAAUUAUUUCAGUUGAAA